UAGCACAGGUAAUCCUAGUUUGGGGUC
rnacentral:sRNA from 1 species